AACCAUUGUACUGAAUUCAACAGCGCACAAGUAAAGCCAAAAUAUGACAAACUUCUUGCCACAGUUUUUUGCCCAAACUGUGAUUGAGGAAGUGCAUCAGCAAAUCCUAAUAUACCCAAACUUCUCAAGGAAUUCCCCCCAAAAUGAGAUUUCAGUAAAGUACCACCAUUAGUUUCCUAAUCCUCCAAAAUAACUCUGAUCUGACAAUUUGGAGUAACCUGCAAACCAAAAUAUAAACAUGAGUCUCAGUCGAGUCUUUGUCAUGAUUCUGAAUUUUUUUACAUUCUAGAGACAUCAAAAUACUGGCAUGGAGAGAACACCUGACAUAAACAAAAGAUUUUUGUUCCUUUAAUUUCUUCUUGGGCUCAAUAUAAACACACGUAAACAUAAACAUGAGUCAGAAGUACACAACAGCAC
rnacentral:lncRNA from 1 species